rnacentral:sRNA from 1 species
CAAGAAUAUACUUAAACAAGAAUUAGUAUAUGCGGAACUAAGAAAUUAGUUUCGAGUGUAGACAUCAAAUCUUAUAUAUUCACAAGUUCUGCUCUGAAUACAUGCCUAGCUAACUAAGUAUCUGUACAUUACAACAUUGUCGUUUUUUUAAUUUAGGGUGCAGAGCCCCGAUCCCUCGAUGUAGUACAACUUCUGAUUGAUCCGUGGCUAUGUCGGACCUGGAUGCACAGCAAUGCAUCAGAUUGAUGAGCCGCUGAUGCAGCUGCAGUAGAACGCAACAAGUAAUAUCCUCAUGGGCAUAGAUUGAUUUACCCAUUUCAAUUGUUUGAUUCAUUAUCAUCAUAUGCUUCGGUUCUAACUCUCACCCGUUCACGAUUGAAGUGAAGGUUUUACCCGCAACUCCUCCAUGUCUGCAAAUACCUGCACUUACACGAGGCCGCAACUGUUAAGGCAUAGAAGAGUCUAGUUAAAACUGCAAAAAAAAGUAAUGCGGUGAAGUGAGAUUAAUGGUUCAAAGAAGGAUACCUCUAUGAUCUUAUCCGGCAUAUCAUGAUGAUCAUAUAUCGAUAUCAUCCUAGAAAAUAGUCUUUUAGAGACAGAGCGCAAGUUGGUAUGUAUGAUCAUAUUCCACAAUGAUUCUGCCUCAUCUACCCUCUGGUCCAUAUCAAAUGCCAGAAGAAGAGUAUCAAACGUUCCCAUCGUUGCUCCUUGUCCUUUGCUUAGCAUCCACUUUGCUACCUGUGAUUUACCGAGACUAAUAAUCAGUAAGAUUCUUUUCCAAUUCCUCUUAAGUAACCAAACACGAGAUCAUCAGGUCUAGAAGGAAAAAGGGUUUCAUUCACAGAGCACAAGUUCAUUUAAAUCAUCCACACAUGUAUAAUUUUGUCAAUCCUG